rnacentral:rRNA from 1 species
GAUGAACGCUGGCGGCGUGCUUAACACAUGCAAGUCGAACGGAGUGGCGAACGGGUGAGUAACACGUGGGUGAUCCGCCCUGUACUUCGGGAUAACCUUGGGAAACUGGGUCUAAUACCGGAUAGUAUGGGAUGGGGUGGCGGCCUAUCAGUUUGUUGGUGGGGGAAUGGCCUACCAAGGCGUCGACGGCUACCCGGCCUGGGAGGGGGUACGGCCCCAUGAGGAAUGAGGUAGGGACCAGACGCGUACGGGAGGCAGUGGUGGGGAAUCUUGCACAAUAGGGGCAAGCCUGAUGCGGCGACGCCGCGUGGGGAAUGAAGGCCUUCGGGUUGUAAACUCCUUUCGCUAGGGACGCGGUACCUGGAGAAGAAGCACCGGCUAACUACGUGCCAGCAGCCGCGGUAAUUC